AUGAGUCUUCCCGAUCCAGCGAAUAAGGGGUUUCCUUGAACCCGCUGGGUACGAGGGCGAGGAAACACUAGUCCACCCCAAAACAUGCCUAGCAUGGGCGGCUUUCACACCUGCUGUCGGCAUAACACACACUCGACACAAUUAUCCCUAGGAAAGACCUAAGGGACAAGACUCCUAUCCAAAACUAAACAAUACUUAGGAGUCUACGACAAUAUCCACCAAUACUCAUAGUCCAGCCUAUAUGGCAUAGGACUCGUAGUAUCAACAUCACAACUAGGAGAUCGGCCUAUAUGGCAAAAGAUCCCUAGACAACAACAUUACCAAAAUCCCUGCACAAACAAUAAUCUCAACCAGAAGCAAUCA
rnacentral:lncRNA from 1 species